UGGGUUGUGGCUCAGUGGUGGAGCACUUGCCUAGCACACGUGAGGCACUGGGUUCGAUCCUCAGCACCACAU
rfam:Ictidomys tridecemlineatus contig022418, whole genome shotgun sequence.